GAGCUUUAGGGAGAUGGUUGGCAUCUUCCCUGACAGGGAUGUGAACAGUCUUCGGACUUACCUGUUACCACACAUCUGGUUAAAGAUUGAGCUUUAGUGAAACUGUAAAAGCUCUAGCCAGAACUCUCA